AAGUCGUACCAACCUAACCGGUGAGUGGCAGACGGGUGAGUAACGCGUGGGAACGUGCCUCAAGGUACGGAAUAGCACCGGGAAACUGGUGGUAAUACCGUAUAUCUCCUUCGGGAGAAAGAUUUAUCGCCUUGGGAUCGGCCCGCGUUGGAUUAGCUAGUUGGUGGGGUAAAGGCCUACCAAGGCGACGAUCCAUAGCUGGUCUGAGAGGAUGAUCAGCCACACUGGGACUGAGACACGGCCCAGACUCCUACGGGAGGCAGCAGUGGGGAAUAUUGGACAAUGGGCGCAAGCCUGAUCCAGCCAUGCCGCGUGAGUGAAGAAGGCCUUCGGGUUGUAAAGCUCUUUCACUGGCGAAGAUGAUGACGGUAGCCAGAGAAGAAGCCCCGGCUAACUUCGUGCCAGCAGCCGCGGUAAUACGAAGGGGGCAAGCGUUGUCCGGAAUUACUGGGCGUAAAGGGCGUGUAGGCGGAAUGCCAAGUUAGAUGUGAAAGCCCCGG
rnacentral:rRNA from 1 species